rnacentral:rRNA from 1 species
ACAACUUUCAGUGAUGGAUAUCUUGGCUCGGGCACCUUUGAAGGGCGCAGCGAAGCGCGAUAGUCUUUGUGAAUUGCAGAACUCCGUGAACCGAUGGCCUCCUGAACGCGCAUGCAGGUCUGCUUCAGUGCUUAGC